AAGAUGAUACUUUUAGGGAUCAUUUCUAUAGU
rnacentral:snRNA from 1 species